rnacentral:rRNA from 1 species
CAGUCGCCACGGUAAUACGAAGGGUGCAAGCGUUACUCGGAAUUACUGGGCGUAAAGCGUGUGUAGGUGGUUGUUUAAGUCUGUCGUGAAAGCCCUGGGCUCAACCUGGGAAUUGCGAUGGAUACUGGGCGACUAGAGUGCGGUAGAGGAUAGUGGAAUUUCCGGUGUAGCAGUGAAAUGCGUAGAGAUCGGAAGGAACAUCUGUGGCGAAGGCGGCCAUCUGGGACAACACUGACGCUGAGGCACGAAAGCGUGGGGAGCAAACAGGAUUAGAUACCCGUGUAGUCCCUGUCUCUUAUAC